rnacentral:lncRNA from 1 species
AUUUCUUUUAGUCAUGUUGAUUUGAUUUCAGUUUCUGGCUAUGAAAAACAUUUUUAAACUCGUCACCCACAACAAACUGAACAAAACUACUACAGUGAAAGCCCUUUUCAGUGAAAGAUGUCAGAAACCUCAAAACCUUUGGCCUGACUCAGAACUACCAUGUGAAAAUCAGUACUCUCUUAAUGUUUGAAAUAAAAACUGAAAAAAAAAACAAAAAAACAAAAAACCUUUUUUGAAGCACCUUAACGUGGCCAUCCAUUUGAGAAGUGGGUGCCACUUUUUUCUUUGAGCACCUUAUUGAUGUGUUUGCUAUCUGCUGUCUUUCUGUUACCUGUUGGCUGAAUGGCUAGCUGUUAACAUAUACAUGUGCACAGAAGAGAUAUCUGGGCAUGUAUGUUCUCAAUGAAGUUUACUGUGGUGACUGCUGAAAGGUGAACCCAUUUCCUGAUUUUCCCGCCGCAGUGUUGUGAUAAGAUUCGAAGAAACCUUUUUCCCUGCACAGAAAUGUUUCUUAUCACAUUGUAUCUUAGUAUGGAAAGGAAUAUGGUCCCUUUUUUGCAAUUGCUACUGUGUACACACACACACACACACACACACACACACACACACACUGUAUGUUUAGACCUAAAAUACACACACCCACGCACACACUGUAUGUUUAUGUGACCUAAAACAUACACACAUGCACACACACAUACAUAUCCAUUCAUUCAUUCAUUCAAGUGGUGUUUCCAGUGUCUGUGUGUCACUGUUUAUGCAGUUUCCAUUUCCCAGUGAAUUAUGAGUGGAGGGCAACUUUUCUAACCAGAUUGUCUUUUCAGAACAAAGACCUGGGAAUUGAGGAAGAGUUUGGAAAGAGGGAGAGGCAAGGAAAGAGAGCUUUAAAUUGAAAGGUUAAUUUCCUAAGAGGAACCUGGGCUGAAUGACUGCAGUGUUAUACCCUCCAAUCUUUGCAGGUGGGCAUGGAACACUGCUUGUAUCACUCUGUGCACGGUAUAAAUCCAUAUAUCCACAAAAACACACAUCCAUCCAUCAACAUAUACAUGGUUUGGGAUGAGCAGGUCAAUAGUUUUGAGAGGGAGUUUGUUCCUUUUUUUUUCUCAUUAUACUCUUAAAUUGUUGUCAGUUAUCAAACAAACAAACAGAAAAAUUGUUUGGAAAAACCUUGCAUACGCCUUUUCUAUCAAGUGCUUUAAAAUAUAGACUAAAUACACACAUCCUGCCAGUUUUUUCUUACAGUGACAGUAUCCUUACCUGCCAUUUAAUAUUAGCCUCGUAUUUUUCUCACGUAUAUUUACCUGUGACUUGUAUUUGUUAUUUAAACAGGAAAAAAAACAUUCAAAAAAAGAAAAAUUAACUGUAGCGCUUCAUUAUACUAUUAUAUUAUUAUUAUUAUUGUGACAUUUUGGAAUACUGUGAAGUUUUAUCUCUUGCAUAUACUUUAUACGGAAGUAUUACGCCUUAAAAAUACGAAAAUAAAUUUUACAAGGUUUCUGUUUUGUGUGGAAGAGUAAUUGAUGUUGCUAAGAAUGAUGUUUGUUUUUUUGGGGUUUUUGUUGUUUUUUUUUUAAAUGUUACCAGCACUUUUUUUGUAAGUUUCACUUUCCGAGGUAUUGUACAAGUUCACACUGUUUGUGAAGUUUGAAUAUGAAGGAAUAAUUAAAAAAAAAAAAACUCUU